GCUUAACUACGAGCGGUCAUUGGAAACUGGAAGACUUGAGGACAGAAGAGGAGAGUGGAAUUCCACGUGUAGCGGUGAAAUGCGUAGAGAUGUGGAGGAACACCAGUGGCGAAGGCGACUCUCUGGUCUGUAACUGACGCUGAGGCGCGAAAGCGUGGGGAGCGAACAGGAUUAGAUACCCUGGUAGUCCACGCUGUAAACGAUGAGUGCUAGGUGUUAGGGGGUUUCCGCCCCUUAGUGCUGCAGUUAACGCAUUAAGCACUCCGCCUGGGGAGUACGGCCGCAAGGCUGAAACUCAAAAGAAUUGACGGGGGCCCGCACAAGCGGUGGAGCAUGUGGUUUAAUUCGAAGCAACGCGAAGAACCUUACCAGGUCUUGACAUCCCUUUGACCGUCCUAGAGAUAGGGCUUUCCCUUCGGGGACAAAGGUGACAGGUGGUGCAUGGUUGUCGUCAGCUCGUGUCGUGAGAUGUUGGGUUAAGUCCCGUAACGAGCGCAACCCUUAAUAUUAGUUGCCAGCAUUAAGUUGGGCACUCUAAUGUGACUGCCGGUGACAAACCGGAGGAAGGUGGGGAUGACGUCAAAUCAUCAUGCCCCUUAUGACCUGCGCUACACACGUGCUACAAUGGAUGGUACAACG
rnacentral:rRNA from 1 species